rnacentral:rRNA from 1 species
UAGGGAAUCUUCGGCAAUGGACGGAAGUCUGACCGAGCAACGCCGCGUGAGUGAAGAAGGUUUUCGGAUCGUAAAGCUCUGUUGUAAGAGAAGAACGAGUAUGAGAGUGGAAAGUUCAUACUGUGACGGUAUCUUACCAGAAAGGGACGGCUAACUACGUGCCAGCAGCCGCGGUAAUACGUAGGUCCCGAGCGUUGUCCGGAUUUAUUGGGCGUAAAGCGAGCGCAGGCGGUUAGAUAAGUCUGAAGUUAAAGGCUGUGGCUUAACCAUAGUACGCUUUGGAAACUGUUUAACUUGAGUGCAAGAGGGGAGAGUGGAAUUCCAUGUGUAGCGGUGAAAUGCGUAGAUAUAUGGAGGAACACCGGUGGCGAAAGCGGCUCUCUGGCUUGUAACUGACGCUGAGGCUCGAAAGCGUGGGGAGCAAACAGGAUUAGAUACCCUGGUAGUCCACGCCGUAAACGAUGAGUGCUAGGUGUUAGACCCUUUCCGGGGUUUAGUGCCGUAGCUAACGCAUUAAGCACUCCGCCUGGGGAGUACGACCGCAAGGUU